UCUGUGGCCGCGGAGAAGGGGAGUGCGAAACGGGGAAGAGAAGGCGAGAGAGAAGAAACAAGGCACCCAACGCCCUAAUUUUGCUCUCUUCGAAGCCCGUCCUUCCAUCGAUCGAGAUAAGGAGAGGAGAAGAAGAGGUUGGGGUUGCGUCGGGGAUCUCAAAAUGCAUAAAUUGGUAAGAAGAAAUCGAGACAAAGUGCAGCAGUUUAUGGCAAUUAAUGGAACGAGUGAAAGAGUUGCUCUUAAGGCAUUGAAAGUGAGCAAUUGGCAUUUAGAGGAGGCUUUUCAUAUGUUUUAUGGCCAACCACAUACUAGACAGUUGUUGAUUCUAGGCAUCUUGAAGAGCUUUAUAACAGAUAUAAAGGCAAGUUCUCCUUUGAGUAGUGAGUUCUUUUGUUUUGCCGUCAAAGAUUUGUCUGCAUACUUCCAGUCACUAUUCUUUUUUUCUUUUUUUUUUACUGCUGAAUUUUGGUUCUUCAUAGUAGAUCCCCAUGCACUUGAUACCAAUCUUAGUUGCAUAAUCAGUAUUGAGACUGAGAUAUUUUAAGGAUGAUAUGAUUGAUAUUAACAAAAUCUUGAGAUUGGAUUAACGAGAUUGAUUGGUUUGCUGGAGAUAAUAACAUGAAAAAUAAGAAAAAUGUAAACAAUGUAAUAACAAAAAAAUUAUAAUCUAAAAUUUUAUGAAAAGGAUACCAUAAUAAAAUAUUCCUUGACCUAUCAUGUUUCCUGUUGUCUAUUUUAUUUAAAGAAUUAUUUAAAGAAUAUGAAUCUAAGAUAUAGAUGAAAAAAAUUACACUGAAAAUAUGUAGAUUAAUUUAUUAAAGUUAACUAAUAUAUAUAGACGUUAGAUUCUAGGAUAACCUCAGGCAAGUAAUUUCCCAUUUGCUUACUUGACCUUAAUUGUUGGAAUCUUCUUUUCAUUGUUUCUUCAGUCUUGUUCUAUCAUAAAUGAACAAUCAUGGUGUUGGUAUGCUUUCACCACUUGUUGCCUAAAUAUUAUCAAAUAUGUUAGCAUAAAACAUUAUUCAUCAAUUGUUCUCUACCUAAUAUCUAAUCCUGCUUAAUAUUUAAUUUUAUGCUACUAAUGCUGCAAGUUACUUGCUUAUGUUUGGAUUGAGUGAAAUAAAAUAAUUUUGGUUGUGGCAGAUCCUUGUGUUGAUAUGAUACUGGUUGAUGGUAUAACCCUUUGCAGUGAUACCGGUCUAUUCUUCCAUAUUUGCAUUAUCUUAUUAUGUCUGAAGUGGUUUUGAGGUGGCAACAAGUGGUGCCAUUUCUACUUUAUUAGUCUUUGACUAAGAUUUUUGACAUAUCUGGUGAUAGAAUCAAUUUAUGUAUGAAUAACUAUUGCACAUUGAUUAAAGAAAUAUAUAUUCUGUUCAAAGUGUUUGCUAUAAGUGAUGGUUGUUUAUUGGCACCAGUUAUGUUUGACUAACAAAACAAGUUCAAAAGGGUACCUUUGGUAUGAAUUGACCAGAAAAGAUGUUUUAAAGGAGACAUUUCAAAUUGAACAUAAUUUGAAUGUCACAUAUGGUUUUUAUGUAGUUAACAUGUUAAGAGUAAUAAUACUUUGUAAGGGGGAUAUUUCAUAUUUUAUCAUGUUUCUUCUUUUAUGUCUUCUUUUAGCACAUUUAUGUUCAUCUUUUUUUCAGUAUUUUCCUUUCCUUUUGUUUUCUUAUUGGCAUAACUGCUGACAUACAUUUGGUAAGUGCAUUUAUGACAUGACAGCACCUUUAAUUUCCAAUGUGAUAUCUCUGAAGUAACACUUGUUGCUACAUAAAUUUUUUGGUGGACAUUCCCAGUUACAAUAGUAAUGUAUUCAAUUUCCGAAAAGCUACAACAUUGUUUUUCUUUUUCCAUUGUUCAUUGACGGAUGUCCUUUAAGGUAAGUUUAAUUACUCUUAAUGACUUGUGAUAAGUUGAUUUGCUCAAAGUGAGGUACAUUUGUGUAGGUAUAGGUAACUUUGGUUUUUGAAGAGUUUCAAGGUUUUGAAGCUUCAUUAGCAAAGUUCUGAAUAACAGUAUGGGUAAUUUUGAAUUUUAUAGACCUAGUAACUGUUUUUUGAGUUGUUUUAGUGGGGGCAAGAAACGAGAAUUCAAAAGUUGUGAUGAAUGUUUGGUGAGUUUUGGACUAGAAUGCUGUCUUGUGUUGCAAUCCUACAUAUUUGUAUCUUGUCUUUUCUUCCUCUUACUCUGUUAUGUUAACUGCUUUCUUCUAGUCUAAUAAAUUAAUGACUACUGGACUAUGCUGAUCA